rnacentral:rRNA from 1 species
UAUGUGAUCGUCUCUCGCAUAUCAAUAAGCGGAGGAAAAGAAACUAACAAGGAUUCCCCUAGUAACGGCGAGUGAAGCGGGAAGAGCUCAAAUUUGAAAUCUUAAAGGGUUUCCCUUUACGAAUUGUAGUUUAAAGAAGUGUUUUCUGUUGAGGUUUUGGUAAAAGUUCUUUGGAAUAGGACAUCAUAGAGGGUGAGAAUCCCGUAUUUGACCUUUACUUUCAACUUUGUGAUACACUUUCAAAGAGUCGGAUUGUUUGGGAAUGCAGUCCAAAAUGGGUGGUAAAUUUCAUCUAAAGCUAAAUAUUGGCGAGAGACCGAUAGCGAACAAGUACCGUGAGGGAAAGAUGAAAAGAACUUUGAAAAGAGAGUUAAACAGUAUGUGAAAUUGUCAAAAGGGAAGCGUUUGACACCAGUGUUGUUUUUCUGAAAAUCAAUUAAAGAACUGUUUAUGCUAAGUUGUUUAGACUUUAUCAGCUAACUGUUUAGUUUUGAGCUUUUCUUUAAUGCACUUUUCAGUUAACAAGUCAACAUCAAUUUCUUUUGCUGUAAAAAAGCUUGAGGAAGGUGGCUUGAGAUUCGUCUUAAGUGUUUAUAGCCUCUUGCCUAUGCAGUCGGAGAGAUUGAGGUCUGCAGCGUAGAUCCUUCGGGGCUAAAUGCAUUCGUGCUAAGUUAUAGCAUUUUAUAGACAACUUGUUGACUAUGAUUUGUCUUGUAGCUUACUCGCUUAUGUUAUUUUACCUACGCUUAGGAUGUUGAUCUCUCACAGUCGAGC